rnacentral:rRNA from 1 species
CCCUUAGAUGUUCUGGGCUGCACGCGCGCUACACUGAAGCUAUCAACACGUUUUCCCUCCCUGAGAAGGGCGGGUAACCUUUUGAAUCAGCUUCGUGGUAGGGAUCGGGGCUUGCAAUUGUUCCCCGUGAACCAGGAAUUCCUAGUAGACGCGAGUCAUAAGCUCGCAUCGAUUAAGUCCCUGCCCUUUGUUCACACCGCCCGUCGCUACUACCGAUUGAACGUUUUAGUGAGGCAUUUGGACCGACGCAUCUCAGUUUAACCGCUGGUUUGUGUUGGAAAGACUUCCAAACUUGAGCGUUUAGAGGAAGUAAAAGUCGUAACA